CGGCCUGGCCAAGCCCCCAGCCCGGAGCAGCAGUCUCGCCGGCCGCCCCGGGCUAAAUGCGUGAGAACCCGAAGACUCCCGACCCGGGCUGAGCGCGCCCCUCCCUUCCCCAGUCGAGCUUCUGGAAAUCCAGUAGCCUUCCUCUGCCUCCGGGAGCUCGCGGCCGGCUGCCACCCCGGAGCCAACGCACCGCGUGCACACGUCCACACGCCAGCAGCCCAGGCGCGGGAGCGCUGGGUGUGGAACCCAGGCGCACCGCGCGCCCAGCCGGCACCCGCGCGCACCCGGACCCUUGCCCCCCCGGCGCCCCCCGGCGGCCCGAGCCCCCCGCCCGCCAGCCUCACCAAACAGCCGGGUAACUUUCCAGGUGCGCAGCUGGUCCCCUCGGCGCCGCCGCCGCCCCUGCGUCUCGGCGUCCGCUCCCUCGCCGCCCUGCCUCCCCAGCCGCCCGCGGCGCCCCAGCCGGGCGCGGGUCAGUGUAGCCAGCCCCGGACGGGCGCGGGGCGCGGGGCGCGGGCCCGGGGCUGCCGGCGCCGCCACUCGGGCUACGUGGGAGCCGGGUGGCCGGCGAGCGCUCUGCCGGCUGGAGCUGCGGCGUCUCGGGUGCUGCCGCCUGGCUCCACCGCGGGGGCCGGUGCAGAGGAGACGCGCGGGGAGGGAGAGAGAGGGAGGGAAGGAGGGAGGAGAGGAGGAGAAGGAGGGGGUGGGGGUCAGUCGGGGCGGUGGCGGGCAAGAGCAGGGAGCCGGCUUCCCUGGAGGUGGGGUCACCCGCGCGCGCACCCGCACCGGCCCCAACCUUUACUCUCGAGACACGCCAGCAGCGACAGCUGCAGCCUGCACUUUAUACCCAUCCCCUCCAGAGUGGGGCAACUUAAGGAGGGAGAUAACAUCGCGGAUGUAAACAAAAAAAAAAAAAAAAUUCAUGUUGUUAUUAUUAUUUCUAUUUCAAGUGUGUGGGACGAGGGGAGAGGAAAGUUCAGGGAGGUGUUCAUCUUUUCCUUCUCCUCCCUCUCUCCUCCCACCCCCAGCCCCAUACCAGCCCCCUCAGCCCCAACCCCAGGUCUGUUUUCUCUGCAAGCUGUCUCCCACCUCGCCUUUGCUCCCAGAGCACAAACAGGCGCACGUACCCUGGACGUGCUCUUCUCCGCUGUCACACGAGUGCCCUUCUAG
rnacentral:lncRNA from 1 species